CUGGGGCGAGGGCACGACGAUGGUGGUGCCGUGGCACGCGAAGGGCGUCGCCAUCACCGUGAGGCCGGUGUCGCUGAGCAGGACC
rnacentral:SRP_RNA from 14 species